rnacentral:rRNA from 1 species
GUAGGUGGCGAGCGUUGUCCGGAAUUAUUGGGCGUAAAGCGCGCGCAGGCGGUUCUUUAAGUCUGAUGUGAAAGCCCACGGCUCAACCGUGGAGGGUCAUUGGAAACUGGAGAACUUGAGUACAGAAGAGGAAAGCGGAAUUCCACGUGUAGCGGUGAAAUGCGUAGAGAUGUGGAGGAACACCAGUGGCGAAGGCGGCUUUCUGGUCUGUAACUGACGCUGAGGCGCGAAAGCGUGGGGGAGCAAACAGGAUUAGAUACCCUGGUAGUCCACGCCGUAAACGAUGAGUGCUAAGUGUCAGGGGGUUUCCGCCCCCCCCUUAGUGCUGCAGCUAACGCAUUAAGCACUCCGCCCUGGGGAGUACGGCCGCAAGGCUG